rnacentral:rRNA from 1 species
UGGGGAAUUUUGGACAAUGGGCGAAAGCCUGAUCCAGCAAUGCCGCGUGUGUGAAGAAGGCCUUCGGGUUGUAAAGCACUUUUGUCCGGAAAGAAAUCCUUGGCUCUAAUACAGUCGGGGGAUGACGGUACCGGAAGAAUAAGCACCGGCUAACUACGUGCCAGCAGCCGCGGUAAUACGUAGGGUGCAAGCGUUAAUCGGAAUUACUGGGCGUAAAGCGUGCGCAGGCGGUUUGCUAAGACCGAUGUGAAAUCCCCGGGCUCAACCUGGGAACUGCAUUGGUGACUGGCAGGCUAGAGUAUGGCAGAGGGGGGUAGAAUUCCACGUGUAGCAGUGAAAUGCGUAGAGAUGUGGAGGAAUACCGAUGGCGAAGGCAGCCCCCUGGGCCAAUACUGACGCUCAUGCACGAAAGCGUGGGGAGCAAACAGGAUUAGAUACCCUGGUAGUCCACGCCCUAAACGAUGUCAACUAGUUGUUGGGGAUUCAUUUCCUUAGUAACGUAGCUAACGCGUGAAGUUGACCACCUGGGGAGUACGUCGCAAGAUUAAAACUCAAAUGAAUUGCGGGGUC